AUUGAACGCUGGCGGCAUGCCUUACACAUGCAAGUCGAACGGCAGCACGGGUGCUUGCACCUGGUGGCGAGUGGCGAACGGGUGAGUAAUACAUCGGAACAUGUCCUGUAGUGGGGGAUAGCCCGGCGAAAGCCGGAUUAAUACCGCAUACGAUCUACGGAUGAGAGCGGGGGACCUUCGGGCCUCGCGCUAUAGGGUUGGCCGAUGGCUGAUUAGCUAGUUGGUGGGGUAAAGGCCUACCAAGGCGACGAUCAGUAGCUGGUCUGAGAGGACGACCAGCCACACUGGGACUGAGACACGGCCCAGACUCCUACGGGAGGCAGCAGUGGGGAAUUUUGGACAAUGGGCGAAAGCCUGAUCCAGCAAUGCCGCGUGUGUGAAGAAGGCCUUCGGGUUGUAAAGCACUUUUGUCCGGAAAGAAAUCCUUGGCCCUAAUACGGUCGGGGAUGACGGUACCGGAAGAAUAAGCACCGGCUAACUACGUG
rnacentral:rRNA from 1 species